rnacentral:rRNA from 1 species
GACAGAGGGUGCAAACGUUGUUCGGAAUUACUGGGCGUAAAGCGUGUGUAGGCGGCUCUGCAAGUCGGAUGUGAAAGCCCCGGGCUCAUCCUGGGAAGUGCACUCGAAACUGCUGAGCUUGAGUAUCGGAGAGGUUGGUGGAAUUCUCGGUGGAGAGGUGAAAUUCGUAGAUAUCGAGGGGAACACCAGUGGCGAAGGCGGCCAACUGGACGAAUACUGACGCUGAGACACGAAAGCGUGGGGAGCAAACAGG